AGUGAACGCUGGCGGUAGGCCUAACACAUGCAAGUCGAACGGCAGCACAGUAAGAGCUUGCUCUUACGGGUGGCGAGUGGCGGACGGGUGAGGAAUACAUCGGAAUCUACUUUUUCGUGGGGGAUAACGUAGGGAAACUUACGCUAAUACCGCAUACGACCUACGGGUGAAAGCAGGGGAUCUUCGGACCUUGCGCGAUUGAAUGAGCCGAUGUCGGAUUAGCUAGUUGGCGGGGUAAAGGCCCACCAAGGCGACGAUCCGAAGCUGGUCUGAGAGGAUGAUCAGCCACACUGGAACUGAGACACGGUCCAGACUACUACGGGAGGCAGCAGUGGGGAAUAUUGGACAAUGGGCGCAAGCCUGAUCCAGCCAUACCGAGUGGGUGAAGAAGGCCUUCGGGUUGUAAAGCCCUUUUGUUGGGAAAGAAAAGCAGCAGGUUAAUACCCCGCUGUUCUGACGGUACCCAAAGAAUAAGCACCGGCUAACUUCGUG
rnacentral:rRNA from 1 species